CUCCGCCGCUGCCCGCGCAUGCGCACAUACGCGUGCUGUAGCCACCUGCUAACCCGAGACUUCGAGACGUUCUGAUGAAAUUUCGGCGUCUGAGUCUCCUCAGCCCACUGCACGCGCAUGCGCGCACACGCGCGCUGUAGCCACCUCAGACCUCGAGGCGUUCUGAGGAACCUUCAGCGUCUGAGUAUAUGCGGACCGACGGUUCUGGCAGCUGGAGCGGGUUCCCGGUCGAGGUGAGAAUGUGGUGUGUGACGGCUCGGGCGUGUCUGAUUCCAGCGUGCUCCCUUCAGCUCUUCACUGUGUGUAGUAGAGUCUCGGCCCCUCAUCCGGAGAACUUUAAUCAGCAGCUGGAUCUGGAGAUCUCGCCUGCUGAAGCACUGGACGUCUCCAAUGCUUUACAUCUCGCCAGCCUUCACAUGUCCUGAUUCAGCAAUUUAGAUUCCUUUUACAAUCACAAAUCAAGGUUUCUUGUGUAAUUGAUUGUGCGUCAACUUCUGUCUGAUCUCUCAAAUUCAUCCGAUUGUUUCAGAGCAACUCUCACUGUUCUAUAUUUUUAGAUAUUAUAGAUAAUUUAAUAUUAACAGGCAUUUUAAUAAAUUAACAUCUGUGUGUGGCAGAAGCUUUAUCACA